rnacentral:rRNA from 1 species
GACGGAGGAUGCAAGCGUUAUCCGGAAUUAUUGGGCGUAAAGCGUCCGCAGGUGGACAUACAAGUCUGCUGUCAAAGUGCAGAGCUUAACUCUGUAAAGGCGGUGGAAACUGUAGGUCUUGAGUAUGGUAGGGGUAGAGGGAAUUCCCGGUGUAGCGGUGGAAUGCGUAGAGAUCGGGAAGAACAUCAGUGGCGAAGGCGGCCUGCUGGGCUGUUGCUGACGCUGAUGCGCGAAAGCGUGGGGAGCGAUCCGG